rnacentral:rRNA from 1 species
CUUGAGGCAAGAGUGACGGGCGAUUUGUGCAUAGUCAGUGUCAUAUUUCAAAACAAAAUUUUAUUAUAGUUUUUAUUAUUAAGUCCUUUUUCUCUCUACUCCCUUGACUGUUCUAAUUUUUUUAUUCUUUGUAUCCCAUACUAUUUCCUCUAUAUUUUCUCUGUCUUGAUUUAUAUUAUAAUAGAAUAAAUAUUUUUCAUAAAAAUCUUUGAAUUUUUAUUUUAUACAAUGAUAUAGAGAAUGAUAAUAAAGGUACCUUUUAUCGUGGGUUAUCUAUUAUAAGACAGGAUCCCCUAUAUUGUCUGAUUACCGCCAUUAUAUUUAACUUUCUUUUAUUUAAAUACUUAUUUUAAUUUUAUUAGAA